UACGGGGGGGGCAAGCGUUGUUCGGAAUUACUGGGCGUAAAGGGCGCGUAGGCGGCCAUCUAAGUCGGACGUGAAAUCCCUCGGCUUAACCGAGGAACUGCGUUCGAUACUGGAAGGCUUGAAUCCGGGAGAGGGAUGUGGAAUUCCAGGUGUAGCGGUGAAAUGCGUAGAUAUCUGGAGGAACACCGGUGGCGAAGGCGGCAUCCUGGACCGGCAUUGACGCUGAGGCGCGAAAGCUAGGGGAGCAAACGGG
rnacentral:rRNA from 1 species